AAUUUCUGCCCUAUCAGCGAAAGGUAGGAAGGGGACUACCAUGGUGGCAACGGGUAACGGGGAAUUAGGGUUCGAUUCCGGAGAGGGAGCCUGAGAUACGCCCCACCACAUCCAAGGAAGGAAAAAAGCGCGCAAAUUACCCAAUCCCGACACGGGGAGGUAGUGACAAUAAAUACUGAUACAGGGCUCUUUUGGGUCUCGUAAUUGGAUAUGAGAACAAUCUAAAUCCCUUAACGAGGAACAAUUGGAGGGCAAGUCUGGUGCCAGCAGCCGCGGUAAUUCCAGCUCCAAUAGCGUAUAUUAAAGUUGUUGCAGUUAAAAAGCUCGUAGUUGAACCUUGGGUCUGGCUGGCCGGUCCGCCUCACCGCGAGUACUGGUCCGGAUGGACCUUUCCUUCUGGGGAAUCCCAUGGCCUUCACUG
rnacentral:rRNA from 1 species